rnacentral:rRNA from 1 species
AAAGCGCGCGCAGGCGGCUAUCCAAGUCAGUGGUGAAAGCCCGGAGCUCAACUCCGGAACUGCCAUUGAAACUGUUUAGCUUGAGGAUGAGAGAGGUGAGUGGAAUUCCCAGUGUAGAGGUGAAAUUCGUAGAUAUUGGGAAGAACACCGGUGGCGAAGGCGGCUCACUGGCUCAUUACUGACGCUCAGGCGCGAUAGCGUGGGGAUCAAACAGGAUUAGAUACCCCAGU